rnacentral:rRNA from 1 species
GACGAACGCUGGCGGCGUGCCUAAUACAUGCAAGUAGAACGCUGAAGGAGGAGCUUGCUUCUCUGGAUGAGUUGCGAACGGGUGAGUAACGCGUAGGUAACCUGCCUGGUAGCGGGGGAUAACUAUUGGAAACGAUAGCUAAUACCGCAUAACAGUAGAUAUCGCAUGAUAUCUACUUGAAAGGUGCAAUUGCAUCACUACCAGAUGGACCUGCGUUGUAUUAGCUAGUUGGUGAGGUAACGGCUCACCAAGGCGACGAUACAUAGCCGACCUGAGAGGGUGAUCGGCCACACUGGGACUGAGACACGGCCCAGACUCCUACGGGAGGCAGCAGUAGGGAAUCUUCGGCAAUGGACGGAAGCCUGACCGAGCAACGCCGCGUGAGUGAAGAAGGUUUUCGGAUCGUAAAGCUCUGUUGUAAGAGAAGAACGAGUGUGAGAGUGGAAAGUUCACACUGUGACGGUAUCUUACCAGAAAGGGACGGCUAACUACGUG